UCUCCCGGCCCGGCCCGGCCCGGCCCCUGGGCAGGCGGGCGGCGCGGGCUGUGCUUCUUCCUCGGUCACAUCGCAGGAGCCCCGGGACUGGGUGUGAAAAGAAACACUAGACACCAGCUACCACAAAGGCUACAGGCCAGUGGACCAUCGCCAGGAAAUCUGAGGUUAAGGUCAAUGGCAGUGACGCGACUGUCGAUGUUACUUACUGGAGUGGCGACUGGAAUGUCACAAAUGGCAGAAUCCAGGUUGAAUGUGAUGGCUUGUAUCUGGUGUUCCUGCAAGGAGGGCUCAGUUUCUAUCAUAAUGCCUUCCUGACCCUCACAGUUUACGAUAAAGACAACAAUACCAUCUUGAAGCUGGAAGAGAAGGAAGAAAGGAACAUAUAUUUGGUCACAGCAUUACGUCUGCUUAGUCCUAAUAAUAUUUAUCUGAAUGCCAGUGGCCAGGCCACUCUUCAUCAUUUAUCACUGGGCCUUGUCUUGCUGUCUCCACCCAAUUACUGCACUGACAGAAAAAGGAUUAAAUAUUAACAUGCAAAGAAAGACCCCUUUCUGACAAACUACAAAUCUGAACCCACCACUAGCACAAACACAGGAUUGUAUUCAUUAGGCUAUACAUGUACAAGAAGCCUGAAACUGGGGUCUCAGGCCUGUGCUAUGUCUGAGUGAGAGGGUUCUCCUGGCUAGUGCAAACAAGUCAAUAUGCAAAUAGUCUUUAUUCAAUAUCUGCCAUGUUCAUCUCUUUGGGGCCCACUCUCCAAGAUGGAUCUAUCGGACUUGGGAGAGGGUCCGUGAUACUGUCAAGAAGAAUGAAGGUGAGAGCAUAGAAAGUUAUUGAUGCUUGGUUCAUAGUCAAAGGAAUCCUGGCUUCCCUAUUUAUUUGAUGAUAUUUGUAUAUACUUGAAAGCUUUGCACACUUGCCGGAAAAGGAAUCAGUUAAAUCAAGAAUGGACCUGAUAUUUUUACAGUUACCUGAGCAAAGUGGAGAUGAUAGAGAUCAACCUAGGAAACAACAUUUUUGCCUAGCUGCGAGGAGGAAAAAGAUCAUGGGGAGGGUUUCCCUUCCAGUGAUCCUGAGAUAUGUUUCUUGGAAGCUCAGGAAAUGGAAGAAAAGAGGUGUUUGGAAGUUUAAAAUGGAGACUCAUGGUAAUGAGCACAGAGCUGUUUAAGAAUGGCUUUUCAGACAGAAAGAGACUAUGAGAAAUGCAGUUUCUAAUUAUUUGCAAAUUCUGUGGCAUAAGUGAUGUGGGAAUAUUUGAGAUAAUACUAGGAGGGACUGAUGUCAGGAAUUCAAGAUAUCAACUGGAGAAGAAUCCCAGCUUCUCCCCUCUCCUCUUCCAUAUGCAUGCAUACACAUGAUCACAUACACAUAUACAUACAUACUAGACUUGAACCAAGAUCCAGGUGCCUAAACUUUAGAAGAUGUUGGAAGAAGCUCCUAACUCCUUGCGCAGGCUCUCUGGGUUCCAACGAACAAAUCAAAUCUUUGGUUCUGAACAUCUUCAAAUUUGGGAGGGUUCAAAUUUGUGAAAGUCUAGUCCAGUGAGCCUAUCACAUACAUGCAUACACACACUCCGUUAUGCAGUUGUACACACACACAUCCAUAGACAGCCUCUUCCUGACUUCAGUGGGCUUGUGACUCCUGUUCUCAUUUGACUAUGGGUGUGGAAGAUAAGGACAGUUUUUCCAGGGUUAAAGUGCCAUUUUUGAUUUGGAUGCAUGUAGUACCCUAGCCCAUUGAAAUGUAAAAACAUUUAUUUUAAGGUGGGUUUGAAUGAGUGAUUUGUUUGCAUCAAUGAGCAGAGCUCUGAUGUAAAUGUGGGGCAGGGGAAAUAUAUAUUGCAGACUUGAGUCUCACUCGUUGGGAGGAGAGGGCUGCAACGUACCCCUCCCAGAAUAAGUGAAGACAGAUGAGCUUGCAAGGAGGAGGAAGGGGAAGGGGACAAAACCUAAUUGAUGAUAGAUAUAGUCAGUUAAUAUAUUGUUAUUCUAGGCAUAUAGUGAAAUAGCUUUCAAAGGCAACAAUAAAAGUUAGGCACAUAAUUCCCCAGUGGAAUUAAGCAACUUACUGCUGUUUGUACUUGUGACCAUCUAUGUUUAAAGUAUUUAUGUAUUUAUAUUACAGGUAUGAAACUGGAUAAUUUUGUAUUUAGUAAAAGAACACUGGGCAGAUUUUAGAUUGCAAGAGAUUUCCCCCUCCUAAAUCCUUAUUUGUAGACACUUAAAACCUAAAACUUCUUUUUCAAACAGAAAGUUUCCAGGCCUGGUCUUUCCCAAACACAUUUAUAAAACCUGAACAGAAAUGGUUCAUUUG